CUCAGGAUGAACGCUGGCGGCGUGCUUAACACAUGCAAGUCGAGCGAGAAACUACAUGCAGACACUUCGGUAGAAGCGAGUAGCGGAAAGCGGCGGACGGGUGAGUAACGCGUAGGCAACCUGCCCUUCACAGAGGUAUAGCCUCGGGAAACCGGGAUUAAAACCACAUAAAAUCAUAGGUUCGCAUGAACCAAAGGUCAAAGAUUUAUCGGUGAAGGAUGGGCCUGCGUCUGAUUAGCUGGUUGGUAGGGUAAAAGCCUACCAAGGCGACGAUCAGUAGCCGACCUGAGAGGGUGAUCGGCCACAUUGGAACUGAGCCAGGAUCAAACUCU
rnacentral:rRNA from 1 species